rnacentral:misc_RNA from 1 species
GACUAGAAGUCGAAGUGCUUAGAAA